rnacentral:rRNA from 1 species
UGGGGAAUAUUGCGCAAUGGGGGCAACCCNNACGCAGCCAUGCCGCGUGAAUGAAGAAGGCCUUCGGGUUGUAAAGUUCUUUCGGUGACGAGGAAGGCGUGAUGUUUAAUAGGCAUCACGAUUGACGUUAAUCACAGAAGAAGCACCGGCUAACUCCGUGCCAGCAGCCGCGGUAAUACGGAGGGUGCGAGCGUUAAUCGGAAUAACUGGGCGUAAAGGGCACGCAGGCGGCUAUUUAAGUGAGGUGUGAAAUCCCCGGGCUUAACCUGGGAAUUGCAUUUCAGACUGGGUAGCUAGAGUACUUUAGGGAGGGGUAGAAUUCCACGUGUAGCGGUGAAAUGCGUAGAGAUGUGGAGGAAUACCGAAGGCGAAGGCAGCCCCUUGGGAAUGUACUGACGCUCAUGUGCGAAAGCGUGGGGAGCAAACAGGAUUAGAUACCCUGGUAGUCCACGCUGUAAACGCUGUCGAUUUGGGGAUUGGGCCUUGAGCUUGGUGCCCGAAGCUAACGUGAUAAAUCGACCGCCUGGGGAGUACGGCCGCAAGGUUA